AGCCAAUCUGCCUAGGACAGGAGGAAGGGAGGGUGCUGCUCAACCCAACCUGGGCCCAGAACACCCAGAGCUGCCUGCCACAUGACUGCAAGGCAAACUCAUUACAUGACGGAGGACAGGCAUGCAUGUGUCACGGAUGACUGGGAGGCAGGAACAGGCCACAGGCUGCUUCAGGUGUGUCGUCAUUUGGAACUGGAGGCUUAGCUGAAAAUUUGGACUGACUCUCAAACUCAAAAGCCCCCACGAAGGGCCUAGGGCACUGCUGACCUAUCAAGUCAAGUUUUCCUCACAAUCUGGUGAUCCCAUAGGCUGCUUGAAGGGACUCUGUUUCAGAGAGCUGUGACAUCAGAGUAGAGGCAGUCAAUAUGGGGCAGAGCCAGAAUUCCGGUCCGUAUCAGCAAGGCAAGUCACAGCCACCUCCAGGAGCCGAGUCAGGUACACUAAGUAAGCUGGGUCUCUACCCUGUGCUCAGAGUCUCCAACAAAGGAAGUCUGGGGACAUCUGAACUUUAAAAACUAUAAUAGUAAAAAAGAAUUUGCUGAUGACCCCAAGGGUGUCACAUGUAGAGAACUGCCUCCUGACCACCACGUGUUCACAACAUACGUGUGCCCACACACAAUAAACUGCCUCAAGUCCUACUUGUGUCA
rnacentral:lncRNA from 1 species